UGGUAGUUAUCAGUCUACUAGUGUCUCCUUGUAGUUUUGUUUUGGAUUUUGCUAGCAAGUUUUUGUUUUCCUUUUUUGAUUAUUAAAUACUUUUAGUUUAUUCUACACUUGGGUCCACCUCUCCUUGUUUUCCAACCAUUCAUGACAAUUUGUAUCUUGUUGUCAGAGCAUCUAGGAGGGAUGUUACAGCAACUACAACAACUACCAAUCUAGUUGAAGGCUCUUUCCUCUUGGAUGGAGUUUGUUCUUUUUUCACAUUCAAUUUCACCACUGUGUUCUCUCCAUAUUGAUCUCUACUGAGUACCAGAGGAGGACUCACCAUGUGCCUAAAAGGAUUUGAGUAACCAUGUCAACAUGACACUUCUGAAGACCUGUGUCAUCCUUCUCCUUCUGACUGUGUUGUUCUUUGUACUAAGAAACAUGGACCUGCUGCAGGUGAGAACUGGGAUUAGUGGCAACACUUUG